rnacentral:ncRNA from 2 species
AACGAUUCCGAGGGGGGCUCCGAGACCGGGGGCUGAGAUUGGGCGCGCCGCCCUGACCCUUGAACCUGAUCCGGUUCGUACCGGCGGAGGGACGGGAAUUCUUAUGUGU